UCGGGAAUUUUGGGCAAUGGGCGAAAGCCUGACCCAGCAACGCCGCGUGAAGGAUGAAGUAUUUCGGUAUGUAAACUUCGUAAGAAUAGGAAGAAUAAAUGACGGUACUAUUUGUAAGGUCCGGCUAACUACGUGCCAGCAGCCGCGGUAAUACGUAGGGACCAAGCGUUGUUCGGAUUUACUGGGCGUAAAGGGCGCGUAGGCGGUGUGUCAAGUCAGUUGUGAAAUCUCCGAGCUUAACUCGGAACGGUCAACUGAUACUGUCACACUAGAGUACAGAAGGGGCAAUCGGAAUUCUUGGUGUAGCGGUGAAAUGCGUAGAUAUCAAGAGGAACACCUGAGGCGAAGGCGGGUUGCUGGGCUGAUAUUGACGCUGAGGCGCGAAAGCUAGGGUAGCAAACGGGAUUAGAUACCCCCGUAGUCCCUGAGCGGGCUGGCAAGGCGCAU
rnacentral:rRNA from 1 species